UCACUUACCUGGUCGUGGAUGUUUGUUAUCACUCAGGCAAGCAUCCCAUCCUUUAGUCAUCCAUUGCACUUUGGAUCGCUCUGGGGUGUGGUCGGUUCCAGUCGGGCUGUCCUACGGCGUAUUUUUUUCGUGUGCUUUUUGUGCAUUUUUUACUUAGGCU